UACGUAGGUGGCAAGCGUUAUCCGGAAUUAUUGGGCGUAAAGCGCGCGUAGGCGGUUUCUUAAGUCUGAUGUGAAAGCCCACGGCUCAACCGUGGAGGGUCAUUGGAAACUGGGAAACUUGAGUGCAGAAGAGGAGAGUGGAAUUCCAUGUGUAGCGGUGAAAUGCGCAGAGACAUGGAGGAACACCAGUGGCGAAGGCGGCUCUCUGGUCUGUAACUGACGCUGAUGUGCGAAAGCGUGGGGAUCAAACAGGAUUA
rnacentral:rRNA from 1 species